UGCCGCGUGAGUGAAGAAGGCCUUCGGGUUGUAAAGCUCUUUCAGCCGGGAAGAAAAUGCAUGGAUUAAUACCCUGUGCAGAUGACGGUACCGGAAUAAGAAGCACCGGCUAACUACGUGCCAGCAGCCGCGGUAAUACGUAGGGUGCGAGCGUUAAUCGGAAUUACUGGGCGUAAAGCGUGCGCAGGCGGUUGGUUAAGAUAGGCGUGAAAUCCCCGGGCUCAACCUGGGAACUGCGCUUAUGACUGGUCAGCUAGAGUACGGCAGAGGGGGGUGGAAUUCCACGUGUAGCAGUGAAAUGCGUAGAGAUGUGGAGGAACACCAAUGGCGAAGGCAGCCCCCUGGGUCGAUACUGACGCUCAUGCACGAAAGCGUGGGUAGCAAACAGGAUUAGAUACCCUGGUAGUCCACGCCCUAAACGAUGUCAACUAGGUGUUGGGAGGGUAAAACCUUUUAGUACCGUAGCUAACGCGAGAAGUUGACCGCCUGGGGAGUACGGCCGCAAGGUUAAAACUCAAAGGAAUUGACGGGGACCCGCACAAGCGGUGGAUGAUGUGGAUUAAUUCGAUGCAACGCGAAAAACCUUACCUACCCUUGACAUGUCAGGAACUUGCCAGAGAU
rnacentral:rRNA from 1 species